rnacentral:sRNA from 1 species
GCGGGCCGGACCGGCGGGCGGGCGGGGACUCGGCGCGGGCGCCCUCCCGGCCAGCGGCGGCAGCCCCUCCUCCCCGGCGUCCUCAGGACCCCCUAGAGACCCCCGGCGGCGGCAGCCUGCCUUGCUCUGCCAGGAACCAUGAGUGAGGCCCGCAGGGACAGCACCAGCAGUCUGCAGCGCAAGAAGCCACCCUGGCUAAAGCUGGACAUUCCCUCUGCGGUGCCCCCGACAGCGGAAGAGCCCAGCUUCCUGCAGGUAGGCCCUGUCCUGCAGGGACUGUGGGUGCCCCCUGGCCAGUGCCCUCACCAUGACCCUGUUGCCCAGCCCCUGAGGCGACAGGCUUUCCUGAGGAGUGUGAGUAUGCCAGCCGAGACAGCCCACAUCUCUUCGCCCCACCAUGAGCUCCGGCGGCCGGUGCUGCAGCGCCAGACGUCCAUCACACAGACCAUCCGCAGGUACCGACGUGGCCCGGCUGCUCCAUGGGGUGAGAGCUGGGGGUUGGCAGGGCAGAGGCAGGUACACUGAGGAUGGGAAUGAGAACAAGGGCCCUCUUGUCUCAGCUUCCUCCUCCAUCUCGGUCCCCACAUCCCCUUGCCCUCCUCUUGUUCUGGAGACUGACCGCUCUCACCCCACUAGCCUGCUCCACUCCCUUCUCUUCAGCACUCACUCUGUCUUUCUCUGUCUCCACCACCCGGGUGCUCUGGCCUCUUAGCAGCCGACAAGUACGCUUCGGGCGUGUCCACACUCUACCCCUCUUGGGUCCCCGGGCUGCCCGCAGGGCCUUCCCACAGCGCCAGUCUCUGUCUUGGUCCCUGUUCAGGUAUCUCAUACAGGUCAUGAGUGUGUUGGUGUUUUCUGGCAUGUGCUUGGCAUGUGGCCUCUUGGGAGCUGCCAGCGUGGUUGGCAUUCCCUGGGGCUCCUAAUGGCAGGUGCUGGCAGUGUUUUUGUUUGCAUGUCCAAGUGCUGUGGACAGCCUGCCUGGGCCUGUAGGCAUCUGCUGUCUGAGCUCUGUGGUGUCCUGGGGCCAAGCUCUCUUGGGUUGAGCUCGCAGCUCCCUCUCUGGAUUCAGUGUCUCCUCUCAACUGUCCCUCAGGGAUGGUGGGGUGAGGGCCUCUAUGAAGCACUCAACCGGGCAAGGCCUGCCAGCUGUGGUCUAGUGGAAACUUGGAGUUGGCUAACAGUUCAGGGGGUGGCUGGAACCCACUCAUCCUCUUAUUAGACCCUGGCCCCUGGAGUGACUACAGGCCUGGGGCAGGGCGUGCUGCCCUGGAGGAGGGCCUUUGAAGUCCCCUGCCUGGGAGGGGGCGAUCUGGCUGCCCCUUGCUGAGUCCCUGCCAUGCCAGGGGGACCGCUGACUGGUUUGGAGUGAGCAAGGACAGUGACAGCACCCAGAAAUGGCAGCGCAAGAGCAUCCGUCACUGCAGCCAGCGCUACGGGAAGCUGAAGCCCCAGGUCCUCCGGGAGCUGGACCUGCCCAGCCAGGACAACGUGUCGCUGACCAGCACUGAGACGCCACCCCCACUCUAUGUGGGGCCAUGCCAGCUGGGCAUGCAGAAGAUCAUAGACCCCCUGGCCCGUGGCCGCGCCUUCCGUGUGGCAGAUGACAUUGGGGAAGGCCUGAGUGCCCCACACACUCCCGUCACGCCAGGGGCUGCCUCCCUCUGCUCCUUCUCCAGCUCCCGCUCAGGUUUCCACCGGCUCCC